CCUGCAUGGAGCCUGCUUCUCCCUCUGCCUGUGUCUUUGACUCUCUCUCUCUCUCUCUCUCUCUGUGUGUGUGUGUCUCUGAUGAAAAAAAUAAAAUCUUGAAAAGAAAAAAAAGAAAUCAAGGAGACACAGAUUCAAGAAGAACCAAAUGUGCUCUGGGGGCUGAGGGGGUGAGGGGCUCAAUUGAUGAAGGUAACACCAUAGGUUGUAGAAGUUCUUCUGAAAGGAUUAGGAUCGAUGCAGCAUAAAUAACUGGCUUUGCCACAUAGAGACGGUGUCACUGGGUGGAGUUCAGCGAAAUAAGCUUCCUUGUGACAACUGUGGCAGAACGGAGCUGUGUGUCAGUUGGUACGGGCUGCAAGUUCAUGUGACAUCAGACGCGGAGGCGGAUCAGACCAACUUGCACAUUGGUCUCCGGCCUCCCUGUCAGGCUGCUGAGCAUUAGGGUUUCAAUAUCAAUGUUUCCACUCACAGUUGUGAGCCAGUGUUCCUUGUGAGAGGACAGAAUGGGCCAGGCUCGGGGAGAGAGCCGAGCGUGCACACAAGCCUCCAGUGGCAGUAGAUAAGCGAGGAAAGUCCUUUGCUCUCCUCCGGGUGCCAAGUAUCCCCCCAACGACUGCAGGGUGAGUAGGUGUAAGAGUAGCUAAACGACAACCACAGCUGUGGGUUCAGAAACCAUCUUUUUGUGUAGAAAGUAAUAUAGCUUAUUGAUGAAGACUUCUCCAACAAUUAGAUUGUGUAUAAUGGACGCAAGAGAACUCAGGACAUAAAUAAGGGUCUUCUUCACCAUAAACUGGCACAUCUUUUUGAAACAACCCAGGAACUUCCAUUGGUUCUCCAGUAUAGUCAAGGAGAAUGCAGGAACAUAACUUCUUAUCUUACCCAGGAUAAAGGUAGCUACAACUUCCACCAUUAAUUCUGUGAACCAAAGUUUGAUAUUGAGCAUAACUGACCUGUUACAGAACAUAGGCAGUGUCCCCUUGUCUGCUUCGGUCCCAAAGAAGAUGUGAAGCCUAGAGAGCCAGCCUUUAAUAGUCACUGCUAUACAGUAGGAGCUGGGCACGUGAUCUCUGUGUCUCAUUUCUGGAGAAGUUGUGCCACUUUAGAAUUAUAUCCUUUAUGUUUAUAAAUCUUGUGAGCCCUCUGAAAAUAGGUUGAAAUAGGUCCCAAAAUAGUACAAAUCAAUUUGUUGGUAAAUUUAUAUGACUACUAAUAAUUUGCUUAUGAUUUGAGUCAAUGACCCUGUGGCCUUUUUAUAGGCUCCACAAAUGUAAGGAAAAUCCUCCAUCAAUAAAAAUAACCCCAUAAAGUUUGAAAUUGGAUUUUUUUUUUGAAAUUGGAUGUUUUAUAUCUGAAACAUCUCAAUCGGGUGUUUUUUUAUCUCAAACAUGUCAAUCGGAUGUUUUUUAUCUCAACUAAAGCCAUUGGUUUUUUUUUUCCCCCUCAUGCCUCCUAACAUUGCUUCUUGUGAGAGGGUUGAAAAAAACCCCUUGUCCUCUUGUUUAUACAUAUUGUGGCAAAAUGUAGGUAUUUUCAGUUUCAAUAUUUUGUGAAAAAGUUCAAAAAGCCCUGUUCUUUAUCACAGACAUAAGGUCGCCAAAUACAGGAUUUAUAGUGACAACAUUUUGUGAGAAGCUUCAGAUAACCUUGUCAUUUUUAUACAUAUCAUAGUGAUACAGAGGUACUUUUUGUUCCAAUAUUUUGUGAAAAGCUUCAAAAAAAAAAAAAAAAAACCCCGUCUUCUUUUCUACACAUAUGCUGGCUAAAUAUAGGUAUCUUUUGUGACAAUAUUUUGUGAAAAGUUUCAAAAAACCCUGUCCUCUUUUUUCCACAUAUCUUGGCUGAACAUAGGUAUUUUUUAAUACUAUUUUGUGAAAAAGACUUCAAAACCUUGUCCUGUGUUUUACACGUCUCCUGGCUGAACCUAGUUAUUUUUUGUGACAACUUUUGUGUGUGACACGCUUUCAAAAACCAUAUCCUCUUUUAUACAUGUACCCUGGUCUAACAUACACAUUUCUUUUGUGACAAGAAUUUGUGAAAGGCUUCGAAAACCCAACCUCUUUCUUACACAUAUCCUGGGUGAACGUAGGUAUUUUUUGUGACAAUAGUUUGUGACAGGUUUCAAAACCUCUGGCCACAAAAAACAAAAAACAACAAACAAAAAACAAAACAAAAAAAAGACAAACAAAACCUCUGGCCACAUUUUUACGUAUAUCCUCUUCUAAAAAAUUGAGAUUUUAUUUAUUUAUUUAUUUAUAUAUAUAUUUAUUUAUUAUUUAUUUAUUUAUUUAAAUGUUCUUAUGUUAUUAUGUUCUUUGUGAGAGGAUAGAAUGGGCCAGGCUCCGGGAGGGAGCCGAGCAUGCACACAAGCCUCCAGUGGCAGUAGAUAAGCGAGGAAAGUCCUUUGCUCUCCUCCGGGUGCCAAGUAUCCCCCCAACGACUGCAGGGUGAGUAGGUGUAAGAGUAGCUAAACGACAACCACAGCUGUGGGUUCAGAAACCAUCUUUUUGUGUAGAAAGUAAUAUAGCUUAUUGAUGAAGACUUCUCCAACAAUUAGAUUGUGUAUAAUGGACGCAAGAGAACUCAGGACAUAAAUAAGGGUCUUCUUCACCAUAAACUGGCACAUCUUUUUGAAACAACCCAGGAACUUCCAUUGGUUGUCCGGCCAUGUCACGAACAAUGCAGGAACAUAACUUCUUAUCUUACCCAGGAUAAAGGUAGCUACAACUUCCACCAUUAAUUCUGUGAUCCAAAGUUUGAUAUUGAGCAUAACUGACCUGUUACAGAACAUAGGCAGUGUCCCCUUGUCUGCUUCGGUCCCAAAGAAGAUGUGAAGCCUAGAGAGCCAGCCUUUAAUAGUCACUGCUAUACAGUAGGAGCUGGGCACGUGAUCUCUGUGUCUCAUUUCUGGAGAAGUUGUGCCACUUUAGAAUUAUAUCCUUUAUGUUUAUAAAUCUUGUGAGCCCUCUGAAAAUAGGUUGAAAUAGGUCCCAAAAUAGUACAAAUCAAUUUGUUGGUAAAUUUAUAUGACUACUAAUAAUUUGCUUAUGAUUUGAGUCAAUGACCCUGUGGCCUUUUUAUAGGCUCCACAAAUGUAAGGAAAAUCCUCCAUCAAUAAAAAUAACCCCAUAAAGUUUGAAAUUGGAUUUUUUUUUUUGAAAUUGGAUGUUUUUUAUCUCAAACAUCUCAAUCGGAUUUUUUUUAAUCCGAUGUUUUUUAUCUCAAACAUCUCAAUCGGGUGUUUUUUUAUCUCAAACAUGUCAAUCGGAUGUUUUUUAUCUCAACGAAAGCCAUUGUUUUUUUUUUCCCCUCAUGCCUCCUAACAUUGCUUCUUGUGAGAGGGUUGAAAAAACCCCUUGUCCUCUUGUUUAUACAUAUUGUGGCAAAAUGUAGGUAUUUUCAGUUUCAAUAUUUUGUGAAAAACUUCAAAAAACCCUGUUCUUUAUCACACACAUAAGCUGGCCAAAUACAGGAUUUAUAGUGACAAUAUUUUGUGAGAAGCUUCAGAUAACCUUGUCAUUUUUAUACAUAUCAUAGUGAUACAGAGGUACUUUUUGUUCCAAUAUUUUGUGAAAAGCUUCAAAAAAAAAAAAAAAAACCCCGUCUUCUUUUCUACACAUAUGCUGGCUAAAUAUAGGUAUCUUUUGUGACAAUAUUUUGUGAAAAGUUUCAAAAAACCCUGUCCUCUUUUUUCCACAUAUCUUGGCUGAACAUAGGUAUUUUUUAAUACUAUUUUGUGAAAAAGACUUCAAAACCUUGUCCUGUGGUUUACACGUCUCCUGGCUGAACCUAGUUAUUUUUUGUGACAACUUUUGUGUGUGACACGCUUUCAAAAACCAUAUCCUCUUUUAUACAUGUAUCCUGGUCUAACAUACACAUUUCUUUUGUGACAAGAUUUUGUGAAAGGCUUCGAAAACCCAACCUCUUUCUUACACAUAUCCUGGGUGAACGUAGGUAUUUUUUGUGACAAUAGUUUGUGACAGGUUUCAAAACCUCUGGCCACGAAAAACAAAAAACAACAAACAAAAAACAAAACAAAAAAAAGACAAACAAAACCUCUGGCCACAUUUUUACGUAUAUCCUCUUCUAAAAAAUUGAGAUUUUAUUUAUUUAUUUAUUUAUUUAUUUAUUUAUUUAUUUAUUUAUUAUUUAUUUAUUUAUUUAUUUAAAUGUUCUUAUGUUAUUAUGUUCUUUGUGAGAGGAUAGAAUGGGCCAGGCUCGGGGAGAGAGCCGAGCAUGCACACAAGCCUCCAGUGGCAGUAGAUAAGCGAGGAAAGUCCUUUGCUCUCCUCCGGGUGCCAAGUAUCCCCCCAACGACUGCAGGGUGAGUAGGUGUAAGAGUAGCUAAACGACAACCACAGCUGUGGGUUCAGAAACCAUCUUUUUGUGUAGAAAGUAAUAUAGCUUAUUGAUGAAGACUUCUCCAACAAUUAGAUUGUGUAUAAUGGACGCAAGAGAACUCAGGACAUAAAUAAGGGUCUUCUUCACCAUAAACUGGCACAUCUUUUUGAAACAACCCAGGAAUUUCCAUUGGUUGUCCGGCCAUGUCACAAACAAUGCAGGAACAUAACUUCUUAUCUUACCCAGGAUAAAGGUAGCUACAACUUCCACCAUUAAUUCUGUGAACCAAAGUUUGAUAUUGAGCAUAACUGACCUGUUACAGAACAUAGGCAGUGUCCCCUUGUCUGCUUCGGUCCCAAAGAAGAUGUGAAGCCUAGAGAGCCAGCCUUUAAUAGUCACUGCUAUACAGUAGGAGCUGGGCACGUGAUCUCUGUGUCUCAUUUCUGGAGAAGUUGUGCCACUUUAGAAUUAUAUCCUUUAUGUUUAUAAAUCUUGUGAGCCCUCUGAAAAUAGGUUGAAAUAGGUCCCAAAAUAGGACAAAUCAAUUUGUUGGUAAAUUUAUAUGACUACUAAUAAUUUGCUUAUGAUUUGAGUCAAUGACCCUGUGGCCUUUUUAUAGGCUCCACAAAUGUAAGGAAAAUCCUCCAUCAAUAAAAAUAACCCCAUAAAGUAUGAAAUUGGAUUUUUUUUUGAAAUUGGAUGUUUUUUAUCUCAAACAUCUCAAUCGGAUUUUUUUUAAUCCGAUGUUUUUUAUCUCAAACAUCUCAAUUAGAUAUUUUUUAUCUCAAACAUCUCAAUUGGAUGUUUUUUCUAUCAAACAUCUCAAUCGGAUGUUUUUUAUCUCAACGAAAGCCAUUGUUUUUUUUUUCCCCUCAUGCCUCCUAACAUUGCUUCUUGUGAGAGGGUUGAAAAAACCCCUUGUCCUCUUGUUUAUACAUAUUGUGGCAAAAUGUAGGUAUUUUCAGUUUCAAUAUUUUGUGAAAAACUUCAAAAAACCCUGUUCUUUAUCACACACAUAAGCAGGCCAAAUACAGGAUUUAUAGUGACAAUAUUUUGUGAGAAGCUUCAGAUAACCUUGUCAUUUUUAUACAUAUCAUAGUGAUACAGAGGUACUUUUUGUUCCAAUAUUUUGUGAAAAGCUUCAAAAAAAAAAAAAAAACCCCGUCUUCUUUUCUACACAUAUGCUGGCUAAAUAUAGGUAUCUUUUGUGACAAUAUUUUGUGAAAAGUUUCAAAAAACCCUGUCCUCUUUUUUCCACAUAUCUUGGCUGAACAUAGGUAUUUUUUAAUACUAUUUUGUGAAAAAGACUUCAAAACCUUGUCCUGUGGUUUACACGUCUCCUGGCUGAACCUAGUUAUUUUUUGUGACAACUUUUGUGUGUGACACGCUUUCAAAAACCAUAUCCUCUUUUAUACAUGUAUCCUGGUCUAACAUACACAUUUCUUUUGUGACAAGAUUUUGUGAAAGGCUUCGAAAACCCAACCUCUUUCUUACACAUAUCCUGGGUGAACGUAGGUAUUUUUUGUGACAAUAGUUUGUGACAGGUUUCAAAACCUCUGGCCACAAAAAAACAAAAAACAACAAACAAAAAACAAAAAACAAAACAAAAAAAAGACAAACAAAACCUCUGGCCACAUUUUUACGAAUAUCCUCAUCUAAAAAAUUGAGAUUUUAUUUAUUUAUUUAUUUAUUUAUUUAUUUAUUUAUUAUUUAUUAUUUAUUUAUUUAUUUAUUUAUUUAAAUGUUCUUAUGUUAUUAUGUUCUUUGUGAGAGGAUAGAAUGGGCCAGGCUCGGGGAGAGAGCCGAGCAUGCACACAAGCCUCCAGUGGCAGUAGAUAAGGGAGGAAAGUCCUUUGCUCUCCUCCGGGUGCCAAGUAUCCCCCCAACGACUGCAGGGUGAGUAGGUGUAAGAGUAGCUAAACGACAACCACAGCUGUGGGUUCAGAAACCAUCUUUUUGUGUAGAAAGUAAUAUAGCUUAUUGAUGAAGACUUCUCCAACAAUUAGAUUGUGUAUAAUGGACGCAAGAGAACUCAGGACAUAAAUAAGGGUCUUCUUCACCAUAAACUGGCACAUCUUUUUGAAACAACCCAGGAAUUUCCAUUGGUUGUCUGGCCAUGUCACGAACAAUGCAGGAACAUAACUUCUUAUCUUACCCAGGAUAAAGGUAGCUACAACUUCCACCAUUAAUUCUGUGAUCCAAAGUUUGAUAUUGAGCAUAACUGACCUGUUACAGAACAUAGGCAGUGUCCCCUUGUCUGCUUCGGUCCCAAAGAAGAUGUGAAGCCUAGAGAGCCAGCCUUUAAUAGUCACUGCUACACAGUAGGAGCUGGGCACGUGAUCUCUGUGUCUCAUUUCUGGAGAAGUUGUGCCACUUUAGAAUUAUAUCCUUUAUGUUUAUAAAUCUUGUGAGCCCUCUGAAAAUAGGUUGAAAUAGGUCCCAAAAUAGUACAAAUCAAUUUGUUGGUAAAUUUAUAUGACUACUAAUAAUUUGCUUAUGAUUUGAGUCAAUGACCCUGUGGCCUUUUUAUAGGCUCCACAAAUGUAAGGAAAAUCCUCCAUCAAUAAAAAUAACCCCAUAAAGUUUGAAAUUGGAUUUUUUUUUUGAAAUUGGAUGUUUUUUAUCUCAAACAUCUCAAUCGGGUGUUUUUUUAUCUCAAACAUGUCAAUCGGAUGUUUUUUAUCUCAACGAAAGCCAUUGUUUUUUUUUUCCCCUCAUGCCUCCUAACAUUGCUUCUUGUGAGAGGGUUGAAAAAACCCCUUGUCCUCUUGUUUAUACAUAUUGUGGCAAAAUGUAGGUAUUUUCAGUUUCAAUAUUUUGUGAAAAACUUCAAAAAACCCUGUUCUUUAUCACACACAUGAGCUGGCCAAAUACAGGAUUUAUAGUGACAAUAUUUUGUGAGAAGCUUCAGAUAACCUUGUCAUUUUUAUACAUAUCAUAGUGAUACAGAGGUACUUUUUGUUCCAAUAUUUUGUGAAAAGCUUCAAAAAAAAAAAAAAAAAAAACCCCGUCUUCUUUUCUACACAUAUGCUGGCUAAAUAUAGGUAUCUUUUGUGACAAUAUUUUGUGAAAAGUUUCAAAAAACCCUGUCCUCUUUUUUCCACAUAUCUUGGCUGAACAUAGGUAUUUUUUAAUACUAUUUUGUGAAAAAGACUUCAAAACCUUGUCCUGUGGUUUACACGUCUCCUGGCUGAACCUAGUUAUUUUUUGUGACAACUUUUGUGUGUGACACGCUUUCAAAAACCAUAUCCUCUUUUAUACAUGUAUCGUGGUCUAACAUACACAUUUCUUUUGUGACAAGAUUUUGUGAAAGGCUUCGAAAACCCAACCUCUUUCUUACACAUAUCCUGGGUGAACGUAGGUAUUUUUUGUGACAAUAGUUUGUGACAGGUUUCAAAACCUCUGGCCACGAAAAACAAAAAACAACAAACAAAAAACAAAACAAAAAAAAGACAAACAAAACCUCUGGCCACAUUUUUACGUAUAUCCUCUUCUAAAAAAUUGAGAUUUUAUUUAUUUAUUUAUUAUUUAUUUAUUUAUUUAUUUAAAUGUUCUUAUGUUAUUAUGUUCUUUGUGAGAGGAUAGAAUGGGCCAGGCUCGGGGAGAGAGCCGAGCAUGCACACAAGCCUCCAGUGGCAGUAGAUAAGCGAGGAAAGUCCUUUGCUCUCCUCCGGGUGCCAAGUAUCCCCCCAACGACUGCAGGGUGAGUAGGUGUAAGAGUAGCUAAACGACAACCACAGCUGUGGGUUCAGAAACCAUCUUUUUGUGUAGAAAGUAAUAUAGCUUAUUGAUGAAGACUUCUCCAACAAUUAGAUUGUGUAUAAUGGACGCAAGAGAACUCAGGACAUAAAUAAGGGUCUUCUUCACCAUAAACUGGCACAUCUUUUUGAAACAACCCAGGAAUUUCCAUUGGUUGUCCGGCCAUGUCACAAACAAUGCAGGAACAUAACUUCUUAUCUUACCCAGGAUAAAGGUAGCUACAACUUCCACCAUUAAUUCUGUGAACCAAAGUUUGAUAUUGAGCAUAACUGACCUGUUACAGAACAUAGGCAGUGUCCCCUUGUCUGCUUCGGUCCCAAAGAAGAUGUGAAGCCUAGAGAGCCAGCCUUUAAUAGUCACUGCUACACAGUAGGAGCUGGGCACGUGAUCUCUGUGUCUCAUUUCUGGAGAAGUUGUGCCACUUUAGAAUUACAUCCUUUAUGUUUAUAAAUCUUGUGAGCCCUCUGAAAAUAGGUUGAAAUAGGUCCCAAAAUAGUACAAAUCAAUUUGUUGGUAAAUUUAUAUGACUACUAAUAAUUUGCUUAUGAUUUGAGUCAAUGACCCUGUGGCCUUUUUAUAGGCUCCACAAAUGUAAGGAAAAUCCUCCAUCAAUAAAAAUAACCCCAUAAAGUUUGAAAUUGGAUUUUUUUUUUGAAAUUGGAUGUUUUUUAUCUGAAACACCUCAUUCGGAUUUUUUUUAAUCCGAUGUUUUUUAUCUCAAACAUCUCAAUCGGGUGUUUUUUUAUCUCAAACAUCUCAAUCGGUUGUUUUUUAUCUCAACGAAAGCCAUUGUUUUUUUUUUUCCCCUCAUGCCUCCUAACAUUGCUUCUUGUGAGAGGGUUGAAAAAAACCCCUUCUCCUCUUGUUUAUACAUAUUGUGGCAAAAUGUAGGUACUUUCAGUUUCAAUAUUUUGUGAAAAAGUUCAAAAAACCCUGUUCUUUAUCACAGACAUAAGGUCGCCAAAUACAGGAUUUAUAGUGCCAUAUUUUGUGAGAAUCUUCAGAUAACCUUGUCAUUUUUAUACAUAUCAUAGUGAUACAGAGGUACUUUUUGUUCCAAUAUUUUGUGAAAAGCUUCAAAAAAAAAAAAAAACAAAAACCCCGUCUUCUUUUCUACACAUAUGCUGGCUAAAUAUAGGUAUCUUUUGUGACAAUAUUUUGUGAAAAGUUUCAAAAAACCCUGUCCUCUUUUUUCCACAUAUCUUGGCUGAACAUAGGUAUUUUUUAAUACUAUUUUGUGAAAAAGACUUCAAAACCUUGUCCUGUGUUUUACACGU